GUCAAACCAAGCAAUGGUUCUGAACAAACUGAAAAGACACCUGACAACAAAUCAGCAAGGAUGCAGAGUAUUUUGCUCAUUUGAAAAGUCAACACAAAUGACAAGAGCAAGUGAUGAUAAAGUGUGCAAAAGUGUCAGAGAAAGCACUGGAGGCUAGCUAUUUAGUGGCCGAGACAGUAGCUAAGGCAAAGAAUCCACACACGAUUGCCGAGACAGCUGUUGCCAGCAUGCACAGCAAUUGUCAACAAAAUGCUAUGCACACAAAAAGCAAAUACAAAUUGCAAAGGUUCUGCUGUCGGACUCUACAAUUUGAAGGCGCAUCAAUGACAUGUCUGUAGAUAUUGAAAAAAUCAGAUCUAAUGCAAAAUUUUCCUUACAAGUUGACGAAUCAAUAGACGUGAGUGGGCAAGCUCAGCUCUUGGCAAAUGUUCGAUUUGUGGAAGGGGACCAUACCAGGGAGAAUUUUUUAUUUUGCAAACCGACAGAACAGAACAACCGGAGAGGAGAUUUAUCGUGUGACAACUGUGUAUCUUGAACAGGGACGAUUAAGUUGGAAGAAGUGUGUAAGUGUCUGCACAGACCCUUCGCUGCCAUGAUGGGUAGUGCGAAGGGUUUCAUCAAUAGGGUCAGAGCGCAAAAUGUUAACGUACGAAGCACUAACUGCUUCCUUCACAGGGAGGCACUUGUUGCAAAGACUUUGCCGAAAGAACUUUCAGAUGUACUAGAUAGCGCAGUGGACAUUGUUAAUUUCAUUAAGGCGCGACCUGAGCUGCCUGUUUUCGAUUCUAUACAAGGAAAUGGGAGCAGAACAUUGCUUGUUGCUACACACGGCCGUCUGCUGGCUUUCACGGGGGAAGGUUUUGGGCAGACUGUACGAGUUAAAAGAAGAACACAGAACGUUCCUGAUGGAAGAGAAUUCUGCAUAUGCGGAGUUGAUUGCAUGACAUUUUAGGCAUCUAAAUGAACUGAAUGCUAAAAUGCAAGGCAAAGAUGCAUGGCUUCAGAUCUAAGCUCACACUCUGGCGCUGCUUUGUAGAAGUGGGCAGGCUUGAGAUGUUUCCCUUGUGCAGAGAACAUUCAAACAGCUGCACGCUUUCUAGCCUUAUCUCUCAGCAUCUGAAAUUCUCGACGAGUCUUUCGCACAGUUUGACUGGGUCCUUGACCCUUGGAGUUCAUGUGCACUGGAAAGCUCAAAAAAGACAUGCCACUGCUGGUGCAGGAGAAACUGGCAGAGAUCAGGGAACACCGCACAUUAAAAAUACAAUUUCAAGACACGGCUUUGGAAAGGUUUUGGAUAUCGCUGGAGAAGGGGUACCCAAUAGUUUCAAGUAGCGCAAUUGCAAUCCUGCUACCCUUCUCUACGACGUAUUUGUGCGAACUCAGCUUUUCAAGCCUACCUUACAUCAAGAACAAGUAGGAGCUUCUGACAGGGAGCUUCUGAGGGCUGUGGACCAGAAGCUCUGUGUCUGCCUCUCAUCCAUCCCUGCCAGAAUUGGGGCGGUUGUGUGCAUCGUCUCAGGCUCAGAUUUCCCAUUAAUAAUGAUGCAGGCAGGUUUGAGGAAGGUAUCGAUACAGGUGGACCAAAACGGAAAUUCCUCUCACUUCUGAUGAGAAGCCUGAACGAACGAUCCAUAUUUGAUCCAUGUCUACAAUUCAAGUGCAAUCAGAGAGGAUGAACAUAGUUUGGCAGGGAAGAUGAUUGCUGUGUCCAUAGUACAUGGUGGACCUGGCCAUCCUCUCAGAAGAUCUGGCCAUUUCAGGGCAGUCCAGUUUCAACUCAUCUGUAGGAGACAUUACAGAUGAAGAAAUAGGGAAAGUGCUACAAGAGAUACUCCCGUCUGGUCCAUCUCCUGCAACUAUUCCUCUCCUGCUCGCGUGCGCCCGAGGCAGCGGACCCAGCCCCCACAGACUUUCCCCCAAUCCCGGAUUCCCUGCCUGGACCCCCCUCCCUCUAACCCAGCCUCUAACUCCCAGCAUUUCAUCAAUAAAUCUUG